AGAGCGAACGCUGGCGGCAGGCCUAAUACAUGCAAGUCGAACGGACCCUUCGGGGUUAGUGGCGGACGGGUGAGUAACACGUGGGAACGUGCCCUUUGGUUCGGAACAACUCAGGGAAACUUGAGCUAAUACCGAAUGUGCCCCCAUCCUUAAACAAGAUGGGUGGGAAAGAUUUAUCGCCAUUGGAGCGGCCCGCGUCUGAUUAGCUAGUUGGUGGGGUAAAGGCUCACCAAGGCGACGAUCAGUAGCUGGUCUGAGAGGAUGAUCAGCCACACUGGGACUGAGACACGGCCCAGACUCCUACGGGAGGCAGCAGUAGGGAAUCUUGCGCAAUGGGCGAAAGCCUGACGCAGCCAUGCCGCGUGAAUGAUGAAGGUCUUAGGAUUGUAAAAUUCUUUCAGCGGGGACGAUAAUGACGGUACCGCAGAAGAAGCCCGGCUAACUUCGCGCCAGCAGCCGC
rnacentral:rRNA from 1 species